rnacentral:rRNA from 1 species
CGCCCAGACUCCUACGGGAGGCAGCAGUGGGGAAUAUUGCACAAUGGGGGAAACCCUGAUGCAGCGACGCCGCGUGAGUGAAGAAGUCUUUCGGUAUGUAAAGCUCUAUCAGCAGGGAAGAAAAUGACGGUACCUGACUAAGAAGCCCCGGCUAACUACGUGCCAGCAGCCGCGGUAAUACGUAGGGGGCAAGCGUUAUCCGGAUUUACUGGGUGUAAAGGGAGCGUAGACGGCAUGGCAAGUCAGAUGUGAAAGCCCGGGGCUCAACCCCGGGACUGCAUUUGAAACUGUCAGGCUGGAGUGCAGGAGAGGUAAGUGGAAUUCCUAGUGUAGCGGUGAAAUGCGUAGAUAUUAGGAGGAACACCAGUGGCGAAGGCGGUCUGCUGGACAGCAACUGACGCUGAGGCGCGAAGGCGUGGGGAGCAAACAGGAUUAGAUACCCUCGUA